rnacentral:snoRNA from 1 species
CUGCUGAAUAAGACUAUAAUAUAUAUCUGUUAAGUGCUGUGUCUUUCCCCUGCACAAAAUAAGGUUGUUUCUUAAGUAUAUCUAUUUGCUAUUCCCCUGCAGCAGCCAGGUAUGCCUCGUCUCAUACAG